GUCUGUGUGAGCACAAAUGCGCAGUCUGGCCUGCCCCCUGAAAGUUUUAAAGGGCCGCGGUAUUUGAACCGUGCUAAGGUAGCAUAAUAAAUAGUCUUUUAAUUGAGGUCUAGUAUGAAUGGUCGGACAGGAGGUAAGCUGUUUUAAUUGUAGAUUUUGAAUUUUACUUUUAAGUGAAAAGGCUUAAAUUAAAUAAUGGGACGAUAAGACCCUAUAAAGCUUUACAUUUUAUUUAUUAGUCGGAAAAUUUAUGGUUUUUUAUUCUUAUUAAAUAGAAAUGUUUCGUUGGGGCGACGAAAAUAUAAAAUAAUAACUGUUUUAAUAUAAAAAUAUGUUUUUAUAGGAGUACUGAUCCUUUUUAGAGAUUAAAAGAAUUAAGUUACUUUAGGGAUAACAGCGUAAUUUUUCUUGAGAGUCCAUAUCGACAGAAAUAGUUGCGACCUCGAUGUUGAAUUAAGAUUUCUUUAAGAUGUAGCAGUUUUGAUGGUAGGUCUGUUCGACCUUUAAAAUCUU
rnacentral:rRNA from 1 species